rnacentral:tRNA from 1 species
GAGGUCUUAGCUUAAUUAAAGUGUCUGGGUUGCAUUCAGAAUAUAUGAGAUAAAGUCUUAUAGACCUUA